AGGACGAACGCUGGCGGCGUGCCUAACACAUGCAAGUCGAACGGAGUUCCUUUGGGGACUUAGUGGCGGACGGGCGAGUAACGCGUGAGCAACCUGCCCCUCAGUGGGGAAUAACGGCUGGAAACGGUCGCUAAUACCGCAUGACAUCUUCGAGCGGCAUCGCUUGAAGAUCAAAGAUUUAUCGCUGAAGGAUGGGCUCGCGUCCGAUUAGAUAGUUGGUGAGGUAACGGCUCACCAAGUCGACGAUCGGUAGCCGAACUGAGAGGUUGAUCGGCCGCAUUGGGACUGAGACACGGCCCAGACUCCUACGGGAGGCAGCAGUGAGGGAUAUUGCACAAUGGGGGAAACCCUGAUGCAGCAAUGCCGCGUGAGGGAAGACGGUCUUCGGAUUGUAAACCUAAGUUGUCAGGGACGAAAUUUGACGGUACCUGAAGAGAAAGCUCCGGCUAACUACGUG
rnacentral:rRNA from 1 species